rnacentral:snRNA from 1 species
AUACUUACCUGGCAGGGGAGACCAAGAAGGCGGUUCACCCAGGGCGAGGCUUGUCCAUUGCACUCCGGCCAUGCUGACCCCUGCGAAUUCCCCAAAUGCGGGAAUCUCGACUGCAUAAUUUAUGGUAGUGGGAGACUGCGUUCGCGCUCACCCCUG